rnacentral:rRNA from 1 species
GACGGACGCUGGCGGCGUGCUUAACACAUGCAAGUCGUGCGAUGAAGCUUCUUCGGAAGUGGAUUAGCGGCGGACGGGUGAGUAACACGUGGGUAACCUGCCUCAUAGAGGGGAAUAGCCUUCCGAAAGGAAGAUUAAUACCGCAUAAGAUUGUAAUAUCGCAUGAUAUAGCAAUUAAAGGAGUAAUCCGCUAUGAGAUGGACCCGCGUCGCAUUAGCUAGUUGGUGAGGUAACGGCUCACCAAGGCGACGAUGCGUAGCCGACCUGGGAGGGUGAUCGGCCACAUUGGGACUGAGACACGGCCCAGACUCCUACGGGAAGCAGCAGUGGGGAAUAUUGCACAAUGGGGGAAACCCUGAUGCAGCAACGCCGCGUGAGUGAUGACGGUCUUCGGAUUGUAAAGCUCUGUCUUUAGGGACGAUAAUGACGGUACCUAAGGAGGAAGCCACGGCUAACUACGUGCCAGCCGCCGCCGUAA